GGCCUGGUGAAGCCCUCACAGACCCUCUCCCUCACCUGUGCUGUCUCUGGAUUCCCCAUCACAACCAGUGCUUCCUGCUGUAGCUGCAUUCAUAAACCCCCCAGGAAGGGACUGGAGUGAAUCCGGUGCACAGGUCAUGAGGGAGUGCACAUUCCAACCCACUCCUCAAGAGUCCAGUCACCAUCUCCAGAUCCAUGUCCAAAAAGCAGUUCUUCCUACAGCCGAGCUAAGUGAGCCGCAAGCACACAGCCAUGU
rnacentral:lncRNA from 1 species